UACUGAGGGUGCAAGCGUUAAUCGGAAUUACUGGGCGUAAAGCGAGUGUAGGCGGCUUCGUAAGUCGGAUGUGAAAGCCCUGGGCUUAACCUGGGAAUGGCAUUCGAUACUGCGCGGCUAGAGUCUGAUAGAGGGAAGUGGAAUUCCAGGUGUAGCGGUGAAAUGCGUAGAGAUCUGGAGGAACACCAGUGGCGAAGGCGGCUUCCUGGAUCAAGACUGACGCUGAGGCUCGAAAGCGUGGGGAGCAAACAGG
rnacentral:rRNA from 1 species